GGACUACAAGGGUAUCUAAUCCUGUUUGCUACCCACGCUUUCGCAGUUGAGUGUCAGUGCUUGUCCAGGUCGCCGCCUUCGCCUCUGGUGUUCCUCCCAAUCUCUACGCAUUUCACCGCUACACUGGGAAUUCCACGACCCUCUCCAAGACUCUAGUCUGACCGUUUCUAAGGCACUUCUUGAGUUAAGCUCAAGGCUUUCACCCCAGACAAAUUAGACCACCUACCUGCCCUUUACGCCCAAUAAUUCCGAGCAACGCUUGCACCCCCCGUAUUACCGCGGCUGCUGGCAC
rnacentral:rRNA from 1 species